rnacentral:rRNA from 1 species
UACGUAGGUGGCAAGCGUUGUCCGGAUUUACUGGGCGUAAAGAGCGCGCAGGCGGUCGUUCAAGUCGCGUGUGAAAGCCCCCCGGCUCAACUGGGGAGGGUCACGCGAUACUGAUCGACUCGAAGGCAGGAGAGGGUAGUGGAAUUCCCGGUGUAGUGGUGAAAUGCGUAGAUAUCGGGAGGAACACCAGUGGCGAAGGCGACUACCUGGCCUGUUCUUGACGCUGAGGCGCGAAAGCUAGGGGAGCAAACGGG